rnacentral:rRNA from 1 species
GACAGAGGUGCCAAGCGUUAGGCGGAAUCACUGGGCGUAAAGCGCACGUAGGCGGACUCUUAAGUCGGUGGUGAAAUCCUGGAGCUCAACUCCAGAACUGCCUUCGAUACUGGGAGUCUUGAGUCCGGGAGAGGUGAGUGGAACUGCGAGUGUAGAGGUGAAAUUCGUAGAUAUUCGCAAGAACACCAGUGGCGAAGGCGGCUCACUGGCCCGGUACUGACGCUGAGGUGCGAAAGCGUGGGGAGCAAACAGG